rnacentral:misc_RNA from 1 species
GACAGAGGAUGCAAGCGUUGUCCGGAUUUAUUGGGCGUAAAGCGAGCGCAGGCGGUCUUUUAAGUCUGAUGUGAAAGCCCACGGCUCAACCGUGGAGGGUCAUUGGAAACUGGAAGACUUGAAUGCAGAAGAGGAAAGUGGAAUUCCAUGUGUAGCGGUGAAAUGCGUAGAUAUAUGGAGGAACACCAGUGGCGAAGGCGACUUUCUGGUCUGUAAUUGACGCUGAGGCUCGAAAGCGUGGGUAGCAAACAGG